GGGUCGUGGUUGUGGUGAACAGAGAGACGGUUACCAGUGUUGCUGUUUCAAGGGAUUACUUUCAAAAUCUAUGGCGGAAAUGAGGCUUUUAGGGAGAAGUUGUUGGGUGCAAAUCAACACUGAGGUCCAGUGGACAGUUUCGUCGUUGGACGUUAUGCUGAAGUAUUUUGCGCUCAAAUCUGCAAGGUUGUCGAGGGCCUGGAACGGCCCAGCAAGUUUGGGAGGGCCUGGAACGGCCCAGCAAGUUUGGGAGGGCCUGGAACGGCCCAGCAAGUUUGGGAGGGCCUGGAACGGCCACGCAAGUUUGGCUAUUUCGAUGCUAAGUAACAGAUUUGUGUGGAGAGCUAUAUAAGUUGCAGAGAAUAAGAGACUUGGAUUGGUAUUUUGGUUUUAAAUUUUUAAUAAAAUUCACAAAUCUGCUUUUUUCUUUACUGUAAUGUCCAUCCCUGUCUUCAAAUAAACAGUGUGAGAGUAAUUAAAAUGGGUCAAGGAGCAAUUAGAAUGUCAUUAAAUCUGAUGAUCCCAAGUUUCUCUUCAAAAGUGGACUAAAGUUAUCUAACUUUUACAUGUUCAGUGAACUUUAA